ACACCUCAACUCUCACGGUCUGCCGUGAUGAGUUGGACUUUGGGGGAUUGCCGGCCCUGCGUCGGCUCCUCUCAAAAGGAUCAGCUCGCCAGUGUUUGGUGACGUCACAGGUGUGAUAACUAUCUACGCUUGUGGUCUUCUGCCAUGGUAACCUUCAGCGAUGGAGGUUCACUGGAGCUCACAGGAUGUCCCUUCUCUCUGGGGAGGACGCUUUUUGAAC
rnacentral:misc_RNA from 1 species